AAGGGACACAACACGGCCGGCCCCACCUUCUAUCCCUGCAUCGCCGCUCAGCACCGCUCGCCGAGGCAACAGACCGGGUGGUUGUCGCGCCGUCCAAAAGCGAAAGAAGCGGCGGAGGGGGAUAGAUAUUGCAACGUCCAGCAACAGGGAGGGAGGCAGCGAUGUCCAUCUCUGCCGCGUCCGCAAGCCUGAAGGAAGGCGGCGGCGCCUUCUCCAUAACAGGUCGCCUCACCCCCAGCUGCUCCCCAUCCUCUCUCUCUCUCUCAGAGACAUCUAUUUUCUCGCAAUCUCGCCCUCUCCUUCCACUUUGACGCAAUGCGCGGCCGGCAACGGGAGGACGAUGUCGACCUCCGCCGCGAGCCCUCCAACCUACGUAUGCCGCAGCGUCCCUCCCGGCGGGAAGCCUGACGCCUGAUGUGCAGAACGCAUAGCGCCGCGGAGCCACCCCCGUCCUGCGCCCAGGGCUUGCAGCAGACGGUUGUAGUCGUCGAGGGUGUACGUUAGAGAGGAGGCGGGCCUAGCCGGAGAGGGGGUGGGCGGCGGUGAGAAGCUGUUGCCCGAGCCGUCUGUCGACUCCAACCCAUCUGAUCUCAACUUCAUGACCGUCGUAGAUACGGUAGCAGCAGUCGGCCACGGCCAGGACGAGAGCAGGAGAGGAAACGAAAUGAAAUGAUAUCAGCGUGGUUGCCGCUGCUGGAUCAAUCUGUAGCCGUGCUUGCCCCAUGUUAUGGGUGCCCCUCCGUUCUCUCGCCUUAGGCUUUACAUGGGACCAACUAUGAAGGACACCCUAGACUCUGCAACAUCGUUGGUGCUCUGAGUUUUGAGCUUCAGGUAGCCUUUUAUUUUAGCGAUAAUAGUUAGCUCGGCAAGCAGAGAUGUCUUCAGUUGAUGAUUUCAUCAUAUUUUUCCAAAGCUGAUCUAAGGAGAAGCUGCCCGGUAGUUACAGUGACGGCCGCAAGCACGGUUGUGCGGAGGUUGGAUUGCAGGAUGAUUGGCCCAACAAAGAUGGUACAACAUGUGACAUCAAUGCACGGGAACCUACAUCUCUUGGCAGCACCAUGGCUCCGAUUUGUGUGGGAAGCUCCCUCCCCGACGGCCAGCUCGCGCGAUUUGGUGAGAUUGAACAUCGCAAUCUCCUCCUUCCCCAAUACUUUUGUAAUGCUUUAAAGUCUCCACUGGUAAAAAGAUCAUGCGAAGUGUAGUUGGAUCUCCAUGAUUGCCACUAAAGAUCCAAAUUUAUUAGGUUCUCUGGUUUGUGAUUUUGGUGUGUAUUUGUUGUUAUGCUUAUAAGAACCAACUUAGUGUAUUUUAAGAUUUAUCUUUUGCUCUGUGUAGGCUAAGGUAAUGUAUUCAACCCGAUUAACUCACCUGCGUAGGAUACAGUGCAUUUGGUCUUUCUUCUUCUUCCUAGCUUUGAUAUCUUAGGGCCGUCGGGUGCGAUCUGACAAUCUUCAUUUUUUAUGUACAGUCAGAUGUUUGAGCCCAUUAUAUGCAUGCAUGCAAUGGAGGUCAAGGAAUGUCUUUCUCUUGCUAAUGAGAAAUUAUGCAAAUGUUAUCUUAAACAAUGUUUCUUUUGAAGACACUAAGAAUAUCGAUUGUUUAUGUCGGAGCCUGAUUUGUCCAUAUCUUUGUUCUCUCCAUACCUUAGAGACCAUGAUAUCGUUACAGUUCUAUUGAGAAAACAAUCAACAUUCUUAGUGUUUUCAAGAAUAAAUCAGUAAGAUCAUGAGAUAGACCUUCACAUAGACACAUUUAUGCACUAUAAAUCAGUAAUGUUAUGAAUGUUGUGCCCUAAUAGGCAACAAUCCAAACAGGACAUGGUUAUUUCAUUUUUCAGAUUUUUAAACUGCUCAGAUGCUAGCGUUGACGUGCUUCAUCUGAAACUGAUGGUGCGGCAAAUAUUCCUCUUUUCCAUGUCAAGAGUUGUGGUGUUCAUGUACAUUCAAAUGUGAUGUAAUAGUGGCCAGUUCAGACAGCUGUUACAAAAAAAAUGAGGCCGCUGAAAAAUAGUCUAUUGUUGUUCUUUGGACAUGUUUGUCAUAUAUAGUCAUACCCCUCUCUUGAAAUGCUGGUUUCUUGUUAGUUAGUCAUAUCAUGAGAAUAUUUACCAUCUUCCUCUGUUCAUUUUCCAAAUGAGAGGUCAAAUGUCAUGUUAAGAAGAUGGUUGUUUGUUGUGUGAAUGGACAUUAGUAUUAUGUGAGCAUGCUUUAAAGGCUCCCUCUGCUUUAUUUUGCCACUAGAUGGUGCAGUCAUUGCUUUGUUGUCUUUGUCCGUCUGUUGUUAGCAUAUAUGUUUUUAUUUUUUCAGUAUUUUUUUGGUCUUAAGACAGGUUAAGGCCUGAUCGAACAAUCAUGAUGAUGUAGACGUCUAGCUGUAUAAAAUUUAGAUGUGCAAAAGACUACACCAUUGACAUCAGACUGGUAUCUGAUCUAAUCUUCCUUUAUAUAUUAGCUGCUAUAUAUUUGGUGAGCAUCAUCUAAUACAUGUGGCAGACGUGAGUUCGGUAAAAUGUGCACAUGAAGAUGCUUUCGAGUCUGCCAUUAUGAAAAUUUUGCUGGGUAAUAUUUUGUAAUCAGCAUUUAUCUCUUUAACAUACCUCCGAAAGAAAUUAUCAUCCAUGAUUGCACCUGCUGUCUAAAACGUAAAGAUGCUAUUUCUUUUGUAUUUCGUCGAGUGUUUUCUUACGCGCAAGGUGCUAUAGUUCAGUCGCAUCAUGAUUGCCAUCAUUUUGUGUUUCCAGCAUUUUCUGUAAAUAUUUGCAGGAAAUCAUGUCUUUCCUUUUAUAGGGUACGCAUUUUUUAUCGCCAAGAUGAUUCGAUUCUGUAGCACUAAGCUUAGUAGCGCCUUAAUGGUCUUUCUUAGAAAAGAUAAGAGGAUGAGAAGCAACUUAUUGUAUUUGCUGCCAAGGGGACAAAUCAUCAUGCAAUAUUCAGAUGACUUAUUUCAGAUCAAUGUUUGAUUCAAAUAAGAAGUAUAAUUAGCAAUCUCUUUAAGUUUCUGUUGGAGAGAUAUUUGUAAUACAACUAAGUUCUCACAGUGCUUUUCCUUUUUCCCUUGAAAUCAAAUUUAUCUACCCAAGUCAUGUACUUGGGUUUAAGGACUCUGAAGGCGACAUCCAAGAUGCUUUUUAUGUUCUCAAAUUACAUGAAAUGAUUCUUUCUUUAUAAGCUGAGGGCUGCCAAAUCUUACUGCAGUUAAAUUAUAAUUUUUAUUGUGCACUCUGACUGUUACUUGCCAUCGUUUUCAAGUUUUUUUGAAGCAAUGCAGAGCCAUUAUUAACUUUUGUUCUAAUGUUUUCUAGAUUAAUGUUUCUAUUCUAAUCAUUUGGUGAUAUAAUCUCAUGAGCAUUCUAUUGAUGCAUUAUUGAUUUGGAAAUACAUGGAAUUAAUCUUUCAGUAGUCGCUAAGUCAACAACAUUUUUACUGUAUGCGUUCAUUGGGAUUAUAACACAUGCAUCUUCUCAAGUCUUUUUUUUACUAUGAAUUUCUUAUCCAGGAUCAUGCGAGUCCAAAACUAUAUAUUAUGUUGCAGCUGAAUUUGGGCUUACCGUCAUGCUAACUUCUUUUGAGAGUCGAGUGAAUGCAAGACUUUGAAGCAGACAACUAUAGAUUCUGACUCAUGGUAGGCUCUUCAUUUACCAAGGUCUGCUUCCGGCGUCAACCUAGCUCCCGCAGAUCCGAGGUGGCGCCCUCGGUGCUACUCCUCCAGGUAUGGCUUCAUGAGGCAUCGCCCUGUAGACCCAACGCAGACGACAACCGUGGUUCACAGAGGAGCUCGAUCAGAGGGAGACCAGGGCAGCGGAGAGAUUGGAUGGGGAAUAGUUUGGGUUAGGCGGUAGCUCAGCGCUCAACGCAGGAGGUGGGUGGAGGUAGGGCUCCACUAGAUAGAAGGUGAACAAAUCAUCGAGGUGGAGCUCUCGAUGGGGAUUGGGGAAGAUAUGGACGGACGGACGGAGGUCAUAAAGAAAGAUUGAGAGCACCGCUUUGACCGCUCGAGAACACAACAAGGGUAGGUGAUUGAACUGGACAUGACGUGAACUUACCAGUGUUCAUGAAGGCCGACAAUUAGUGGUGUUUUCUUCCAGGUCAUUUGUGUGGAAAUGAAAUACUGUGAUAUCAGUAGGUGACUGACUGUUAUUAGAUUGUAAAUCAACUUGCACUUGUUCGAACAUAGUCAGGGGAGUACCCACGUUAUACUAGCAGGUGCCUGGUGAAAUCCCUUUUCUUUGCUAUAUUUUGUACAUUUGUAGCAUAUGGCACCCCUGGCUCUAAGUGAAAUUUUUGUCUGACUUAUACAAUGACACCGACUUGAUUUUGCUCUA